rnacentral:rRNA from 1 species
AGUGAACGCUGGCGGUAGGCCUAACACAUGCGAGUCGAACGGCAGCACAGUAAGAGCUUGCUCUUACGGGUGGCGAGUGGCGGACGGGUGAGGAAUACAUCGGAAUCUACUUUUUCGUGGGGGAUAACGUAGGGAAACUUACGCUAAUACCGCAUACGACCUACGGGUGAAAGCAGGGGAUCUUCGGACCUUGCGCGAUUGAAUGAGCCGAUGUCGGAUUAGCUAGUUGGCGGGGUAAAGGCCCACCAAGGCGACGAUCCGUAGCUGGUCUGAGAGGAUGAUCAGCCACACUGGACCUGGGCACCGUUCCAGAUCCCUACGGGAGGCAGCAUGGGGGAUUAUUGGACAAUGGGCGCAAGCCUGACCAGCCAUACCGCGUGGGUGAAGAAGGCCUUCGGGUUGUAAAGCCCUUUUGUUGGGAAAGAAAAGCAGCAGGUUAAUACCCCGCUGUUCUGACGGUACCCAAAGAAUAAGCACCGGCUAACUUCGUG